rnacentral:rRNA from 1 species
GACGAACGCUGGCGGCGUGCUUAACACAUGCAAGUCGAACGGAAAGGCCCUGCUUUUGUGGGGUGCUCGAGUGGCGAACGGGUGAGUAACACGUGAGUAACCUGCCCUUGACUUUGGGAUAACUUCAGGAAACUGGGGCUAAUACCGGAUAGGAGCUCCUGCUGCAUGGUGGGGGUUGGAAAGUUUCGGCGGCUGGGGAUGGACUCGCGGCUUAUCAGCUUGUUGGUGGGGUAGUGGCUUACCAAGGCUUUGACGGGUAGCCGGCCUGAGAGGGUGACCGGCCACAUUGGGACUGAGAUACGGCCCAGACUCCUACGGGAGGCAGCAGUGGGGAAUAUUGCACAAUGGGCGGAAGCCUGAUGCAGCAACGCCGCGUGCGGGAUGACGGCCUUCGGGUUGUAAACCGCUUUCGCCUGUGACGAAGCGUGAGUGACGGUAAUGGGUAAAGAAGCACCGGCUAACUACGUGCCAGCAGCCGCGGUGAUACGUAGGGUGCGAGCGUUGUCCGGAUUUAUUGGGCGUAAAGGGCUCGUAGGUGGUUGAUCGCGUCGGAAGUGUAAUCUUGGGGCUUAACCCUGAGCGUGCUUUCGAUACGGGUUGACUUGAGGAAGGUAGGGGAGAAUGGAAUUCCUGGUGGAGCGGUGGAAUGCGCGGAUAUCAGGAGGAACACCAGUGGCGAAGGCGGUUCUCUGGGCCUUUCCUGACGCUGAGGAGCGAAAGCGUGGGGAGCGAACAGGCUUAGAUACCCUGGUAGUCCACGCUGUAAACGGUGGGUACUAGGUGUGGGGUCCAUUCCACGGGUUCCGUGCCGUAGCUAACGCUUUAAGUACCCCGCCUGGGGAGUACGGCCGCAAGGCUAAAACUCAAAGGAAUUGACGGGGCCCCGCACAAGCGGCGGAGCAUGCGGAUUAAUUCGAUGCAACGCGUAGAACCUUACCUGGGUUUGACAUGGAUCGGGAGUGCCCAGAGAUGGGUGUGCCUCUUUUGGGGUCGGUUCACAGGUGGUGCAUGGCUGUCGUCAGCUCGUGUCGUGAGAUGUUGGGUUAAGUCCCGCAACGAGCGCAACCCUUGUUCACUGUUGCCAGCACGUUAUGGUGGGGACUCAGUGGAGACCGCCGGGGUCAACUCGGAGGAAGGUGGGGAUGACGUCAAGUCAUCAUGCCCCUUAUGUCCAGGGCUUCACGCAUGCUACAAUGGCUGGUACAGAGAGUGGCGAGCCUGUGAGGGUGAGCGAAUCUCGGAAAGCCGGUCUCAGUUCGGAUUGGGGUCUGCAACUCGACCUCAUGAAGUCGGAGUCGCUAGUAAUCGCAGAUCAGCAACGCUGCGGUGAAUACGUUCCCGGGGCUUGUACACACCGCCC